rnacentral:rRNA from 1 species
UACGUAGGGUGCGAGCGUUGUCCGGAAUUAUUGGGCGUAAAGGGCUCGUAGGCGGUCUGUUGCGUCGGGAGUGAAAACUCAGGGCUUAACCCUGAGCCUGCUUCUGAUACGGGCAGACUAGAGGUAUGCAGGGGAGAACGGAAUUCCUGGUGUAGCGGUGAAAUGCGCAGAUAUCAGGAGGAACACCGGUGGCGAAGGCGGUUCUCUGGGCAUUACCUGACGCUGAGGAGCGAAAGUGUGGGGAGCAAACAGG